AACGAACGCUGGCGGCAGGCCUAACACAUGCAAGUCGAGCGCCCCGCAAGGGGAGCGGCGGACGGGUGAGUAACGCGUGGGAACGUACCCUUUGCUACGGAAUAGCCUCGGGAAACUGGGAGUAAUACCGUAUGUGCCCUUCGGGGGAAAGAUUUAUCGGCAAAGGAUCGGCCCGCGUUGGAUUAGGUAGUUGGUGGGGUAAUGGCCUACCAAGCCGACGAUCCAUAGCUGGUUUGAGAGGAUGAUCAGCCACACUGGGACUGAGACACGGCCCAGACUCCUACGGGAGGCAGCAGUGGGGAAUCUUAGACAAUGGGCGCAAGCCUGAUCUAGCCAUGCCGCGUGAGCGAUGAAGGCCUUAGGGUUGUAAAGCUCUUUCAGUGGGGAAGAUAAUGACUGUACCCACAGAAGAAGCCCCGGCUAACUCCGUGCCAGCAGCCGCGGUAAU
rnacentral:rRNA from 1 species